rnacentral:rRNA from 1 species
AUCUGGAGGAAUACCGAUGGCGAAGGCAGCCAUCUGGCCUAAUACUGACACUGAGGUGCGAAAGCAUGGGGAGCAAACAGGAUUAGAUACCCUGGUAGUCCAUGCCGUAAACGAUGUCUACUAGCCGUUGGGGCCCUUGAGGCUUUAGUGGCGCAGCUAACGCGAUAAGUAGACCGCCUGGGGAGUACGGUCGCAAGACUAAAACUCAAAUGAAUUGACGGGGGCCCGCACAAGCGGUGGAGCAUGUGGUUUAAUUCGAUGCAACGCGAAGAACCUUACCUGGCCUUGACAUACAGAGAACUUUCCAGAGAUGGAUUGGUGCCUUCGGGAACUCUGAUACAGGUGCUGCAUGGCUGUCGUCAGCUCGUGUCGUGAGAUGUUGGGUUAAGUCCCGCAACGAGCGCAACCCUUUUCCUUAUUUGCCAGCACUUCGGGUGGGUACUUUAAGGAUACUGCCAGUGACAAACUGGAGGAAGGCGGGGACGACGUCAAGUCAUCAUGGCCCUUACGGCCAGGGCUACACACGUGCUACAAUGGUCGGUACAAAGGGUUGCUACUGCGCGAGCAGAUGCUAAUCUCAAAAAGCCGAUCGUAGUCCGGAUCGCAGUCUGCAACUCGACUGCGUGAAGUCGGAAUCGCUAGUAAUCGCGGAUCAGAAUGCCGCGGUGAAUACGUUCCCGGGCCUUGUACACACCGCCCGUCACACCAUGGGAGUUUGUUGCACCAGAAGUAGGUAGUCUAACCUUAGGGAGGACGCUUACCACGGUGUGGCCGAUGACUGGGGUGAAGUCGUAACAAGGUAG